GACGAACGCUGGCGGCGCGCCUAACACAUGCAAGUCGAACGAGAGAUGAGGAGCUUGCUCUUCAAAUCGAGUGGCGAACGGGUGAGUAACGCGUGAGGAACCUGCCUCAAAGAGGGGGACAACAGUUGGAAACGACUGCUAAUACCGCAUAAGCCCACGGCUCGGCAUCGAGCAGAGGGAAAAGGAGCAAUCCGCUUUGAGAUGGCCUCGCGUCCGAUUAGCUAGUUGGUGAGGUAACGGCCCACCAAGGCGACGAUCGGUAGCCGGACUGAGAGGUUGAACGGCCACAUUGGGACUGAGACACGGCCCAGACUCCUACGGGAGGCAGCAGUGGGGAAUAUUGCACAAUGGGGGAAACCCUGAUGCAGCGACGCCGCGUGGAGGAAGAAGGUCUUCGGAUUGUAAACUCCUGUUGUUGAGGAAGAUAAUGACGGUACUCAACAAGGAAGUGACGGCUAACUACGUGCCAGCAGCCGCGGUAAAACGUAGGUCACAAGCGUUGUCCGGAAUUACUGGGUGUAAAGGGAGCGCAGGCGGGAGAACAAGUUGGAAGUGAAAUCCAUGGGCUCAACCCAUGAACUGCUUUCAAAACUGUUUUUCUUGAGUAGUGCAGAGGUAGGCGGAAUUCCCGGUGUAGCGGUGGAAUGCGUAGAUAUCGGGAGGAACACCAGUGGCGAAGGCGGCCUACUGGGCACCAACUGACGCUGAGGCUCGAAAGUGUGGGUAGCAAACAGGAUUAGAUACCCUGGUAGUCCACACCGUAAACGAUGAUUACUAGGUGUUGGAGGAUUGACCCCUUCAGUGCCGCAGUUAACACAAUAAGUAAUCCGCCUGGGGAGUACGACCGCAAGGUUGAAACUCAAAGGAAUUGACGGGGGCCCGCACAAGCAGUGGAGUAUGUGGUUUAAUUCGACGCAACGCGAAGAACCUUACCAAGUCUUGACAUCCCUUGACGAUGCUGGAAACAGUAUUUCUCUUCGGAGCAAGGAGACAGGUGGUGCAUAGUUGUCGUCAGCUCGUGUCGUGAGAUGUUGGGUUAAGUCCCGCAACGAGCGCAACCCUUAUGGUCAGUUACUACGCAAGAGGACUCUGGCCAGACUGCCGUUGACAAAACGGAGGAAGGUGGGGAUGACGUCAAAUCAUCAUGCCCUUUAUGACUUGGGCUACACACGUACUACAAUGGCGUUAAACAAAGAGAAGCAAGACCGCGAGGUGGAGCAAAACUCAGAAACAACGUCCCAGUUCGGACUGCAGGCUGCAACUCGCCUGCACGAAGUCGGAAUUGCUAGUAAUCGUGGAUCAGCAUGCCACGGUGAAUACGUUCCCGGGCCUU
rnacentral:rRNA from 1 species